UUGCCCUCAAUUUCACGCAAAGAAAGGAAAACAACUUUGUUUGUCUGAUUGGCAGAUGAAAUAUUUUUUAUUUGGGUUUCAUAACGUUUGUACCUAAUACGUGAUGACGAAGAAAAAACACGUCUGCCCCUCUUUCCUUGUUUAUCAUCCACCCCAAACGGCGGUAAUUAAUGUCCCCAAACGCCCCCAAGCGGUUGAACUACAGAAUUACAGCUAGUUUAUUGGAGGUUACAUAAACAAAAAAAUGUAUGCAGACAAGAGUACCGAUUGGGUGAAGGUGCAAUGGUGCAUACACCCGAACAUAUUCAAAUCAUCAUUAUGUAUUGAUCCAAGAUUCACUGCUAAGGGGCUUGACCACUUCCACUGGUAGAAGCCAUCUGGUAACAGGUGUUUUUGUGUCCGGAGAUCCCUGCAGGAAAGGCACCACAGAAUGAUGGAUUUUACCAGUGGAUUCAAAACCAGCACUUCUCAUACUUCAAACAGACUGAGCUCUUCCACCACUUCUCCCUCUGCAGAGAGCUGCCCCAGGUACCCUCCUCAUGUCAGCUCAAAGGACAUUAAGGAGAAGACUUGGGGACCUUCUGCGUGAGAGUGGACCACUUGCUUCACAUGGCCCUUCGGAGGGACCCAGGCCAGAGGGCUCGCUACCAGGCCCACUACGCCUUCAUCAAGGCCUUCCCACUCCCGGUAGGCUCCAGCUUCAUGGCCGCCUGUCGCCUCACCUAUGAUUCUGGCUCGUACGUUCUACAGAUUCUUGGAAGAAGAGGACAAAUGUCUUCCCACACAUCUGGUUGGUAUCUCAAUGGGAAUGUCCCAUUGAAAUUAAAAAACAAUUUUUCAAGGUAGUCCAGGCCAAGAGGCAGCAAAAAAGACAGCAAAAAGCAAAAGAGUUGUCAGUUGUUGGUGCACAGCGCCCCCCGGGGGACGGGAUGCGCCGAGGCAGAAGGUGUGGCGGAUAAGGGUGUUGCAGGAACCUGGGUCAGCGAUCUUCUGCUACACUGCAGUGGUACCUCUGAACGAGGGCUCCCCCUGGGGGACGUCAGGCGAGGGGCGUCCAUCCAUCUGGACCACAAGAAGCAUGAGAAAGGUACGUAACACAGUCAAUUGAAAAUUGUUUAUUCGAACCAAAUCAACACUUCAAGUGGGAUAUGUCAAGAGAAACUUAAUAUACUAAAUGAUCAUGUCGAAACAACGUAUGUUGCAUCAAACCCAAUGUGUGAAUGGGUAUUGCUGAACCCAUUCUAUGGAAGGCUGACUCCUAUUUUAUCUAAUUUAUAAGACCUGCGUGACCUCGCUCUUGCAAACCAGGCCAGGGCCCGGGAGCGUGGCCUCUGGCUGCAAAAACAUCUGCAGGGUAAAGCUGCCGUGUACCUAUCAUAUCUGAGACAGUAUGGACUGAAGCAGUUUCAUGUAUUGACUCCAUUAGCUUUUCUUUUGUUUGUUUUGGUUGGUUUGUGUUUGUUCAUUGCAACUACCCCUUAAUAGCAUAGCUUCUACAUAAUCGCAUUGCAUCAGUUUGAAUUAUUUUUUUUUAAUAUUAUUAAUGGAAUGAGAAACAUUGGUGGAGUUGGUUUGUGAAUUGAAGUGCGGAGUCGUGUAUAACAGAAUCCUUAAACGAUAUGUUGUCAUGACAAUGGGGAAGCAUAUUUUGAAGAGUUAUCACAGAAUAAAAAUUGGUUACAGAACAGGUCAUUGAGAUAUUAAGAUGUCCUUCGUCCCCUCUUGAUGUUCCCCGGAUGGAGGAAGGUUGGGGCUGCAUUAAAAACCCUUAAUUUAAACAUCAGAUUUGCUCAGAAUAAACACAAGUAGAAUUGAUCAGAACACCUUCCCUGAGAGACAUCAGAGCGCAGACGCUUUUAAACGGGUGAGUUGUCAACACUUACUCAUUGUAUCGUUGGGCCCACGGCUUGCCAUGCAAGCUGCCUCCCCAAUCUGUUAUGUUCUCUCACUGCCUCUCAGAGCAUCAAACAAAAGCUGUCUCUCUCUCUCUCUCACCCUCUCUCUACCUCACGUUUCUUCUCUCUCUCGCUCUCGCUCUCUCUCUCUCUCUCUCGUCUCUACCUCCAGAAACGUUCUUGGAAAGCCGUCAGCAGGCUCAUCCGAAGCAUCUGUCCAUUCCGACGUCGCACCAUGAGCAACUCUGAAACGUGGAUCCCGGUUUUGAGGCCUACCUCGUACACCGGCGGGCUGUUUACUCCACAAGCACGCGGUUUUAUAAAUGGACACUAUUCAUCGCCCUUUGCUCUUACUGACCCACUUUCUAACGAUCCGUCUCUGUGUCGUUAGGGAGUCCGUCCUGUAUUCGUGGACAGGCCUACAUGGCCUCCAUUUUAAAGGGGUGAUAUUAUGCCACCAGGUAUGAGUGAGACUAGCCAUUACAGGCCUUUCCCUGUGCCCUGGUGACCUCAGUAGUGUAUUUUGGAUAGACAAGCAACAUUUGCCACAGUCCACUAGGUAGGCUGGUGGAAUGAUCUAUCCAGCACAAAUCUAGGUUGACAUACCCACUAAUGAAGUCAAUAGGCCACAGGGAAAGGCAGAUUUUCAAACGGCUUGUAACGGCCAAUCACACUCACACCUGGUGGAAUGAUAUCGCCCCUUUAAAUCGCAUGUCGUGUUGUAUCUGACCACCGUACUGCAUGCACCUUCAGGAGGCCGGCGUGCCCUGCUGACAGAGAUGAGCCCUCAGAAGAGGGAGACUACAGCUCGCUCAAACUGAAGGCUGACGUCGUCGUUGAUUCUAUCACCUGCGCUGAAAUGUUCGACCGGCUCAGGGCAGAUCAACAUUUCAAUGGAUAUGUCGCUGUCCAUCAGGCAGCUUGGCGGGCAGAGUGGACAGGAGUCUAUUUCCUGAGGCCAUGUUCUCUGUGUUUCCUACUCCGCUCUACUGCUGGAAAAAGUGAGUUUUGUGGUGCUUGCAAGGAUACAGACGAGACCAGGUCCACAUCACAUCAAUAGUACAGGAACAGGUUAAAUAAGAUACAUUUAGAUGCAUUGAGAACAUUGUGUUACAAAUGUUGUUGUUUUUGUCUUAUCAUUUAUGAGCAAAAGUCUGAACCGAGAUGGACCAA